rnacentral:lncRNA from 8 species
AUGUCUCUCUUUAUCUCUUUCUUUACCUGUCUUCUUUCUCUUUAUCUCUCUCUUUCUCUGUCUGCCUAUCAUUAUCACUCUCUUUCUGUCUGCCUCUCUUUCCCGUAUGCCUCUCUGAAUCUUUUACUUCACCUGUCUGCCUCUCUUACCCUGUAUGCCUCGCUUUAUCUCUCUUGUACCCUGUCUGCCUCUGUUAGUCUCUCUCUUUUUUCCCUGUAUGCCUCUCUUUAUCUCACUCUUUACCUGUCUGCCUCUCUUUAUCUCUCUUUUUCCCUGUCUGCCUCUAGCUCUCUCUUCGCCUGUCUGCCUCUCUUUAUCUCUCUCUUUCCCUGUUUGCCUCUCUUCCCCUGCCAGCCUCUCUUUAUCUCUUUCUUUACCUGUCUUCCUUCUCUUUAUCUAUCUCUUUCUCUGUCUGCCUAUCAUUAUCUCUCUCUUUCUGUCUAUCUCUCUUCUCCGUAUGCCUCUCUGAAUCUUUUACUUCACCUGUUUGCCUCUCUUACCCUGUAUGCCUCGCUUUAUCACUCUUGUAACCUGUCUGCCUCUGUUAGUCUCUCUCUUUUUUCCUGUAUGCCUCUCUUUAUCUCACUCUUUACCUGUCUGCCUCUCUUACCCUGUAUGCCUCGCUUUAUCUCUCUUGUACCCUGUCUGCCUCUGUUAGUCUCUCUCUCUUUUCCCUGUAUGCCUCUCUUUAUCUCACUCUUUACCUGUCUGCCUCUCUUUAUCUUUCUUUUUCCCUAUCUGCCUCUAGCUCUCUCUUCGCCUCUCUUCGCCUCUUUCCCUGUUUGCCUCUCUUCCCCUGCCAGCCUCUCUUUAUCUAUCUUGUACCCUGUCUCCCUCUGUUUAUCUCUCUUCUACCCUGUCUGCCUCUCUUUACCUCUCUUGUACCCUGUCUGUCUCUCUUUAUCUCUAUUUCACCUGUCUGCUUCUCUUAGUCUCUCUUUUUUCCCUGUCUGUCUUUCUUCAUUUCCCUCUUUACCUGUCUGCAUCUGUUUAUCUUUCUGCCCCUGUCAAUCUCUCUCUCUGCCUUUUUGUCUAUCUGUGCCUGUCUCUGUGCCUCUCUCUAUCCCUCUUUUCCCAGUGGAAUCCUGCUGGUUUUGA